rnacentral:rRNA from 1 species
GUGAUUAGAGUUUGAUCCUGGCUCAGGACGAACGCUGGCGGCGUGCUUAACACAUGCAAGUCGAGCGGUAAGGCCUUUCGGGGUACACGAGCGGCGAACGGGUGAGUAACACGUGGGUGAUCUGCCCUGCACUUCGGGAUAAGCCUGGGAAACUGGGUCUAAUACCGGAUAUGACCUCCUAUCGCAUGGUGGGUGGUGGAAAGAUUUAUCGGUGCAGGAUGGGCCCGCGGCCUAUCAGCUUGUUGGUGGGGUAAUGGCCUACCAAGGCGACGACGGGUAGCCGACCUGAGAGGGGACCGGCCACACUGGGACUGAGACACCGGCCAGACUCCUACGGGAGGCAGCAGUGGGGAAUAUUGCACAAUGGGGGAAAGCCUGAUGCAGCGACGCCGCGUGAGGGAUGACGGCCUUCGGGUUGUAAACCUCUUUCAGCA